rnacentral:lncRNA from 1 species
GAAUUCUCUAUGAGCGUAGGAUGUUAGAUAAAAAUUUCAUCAAAUUUGGAGUCUGAAAAGUGGAUCAAACCCGGGAUGAAGUAACCGGCUGUCGGUCCAGGUUACUGUUUAUUCGGGUGGAAAAUAGGGGAUUUCAUGCUAUAAUAGGGUAUUAAGCCUAGAUCAAGCUAAAAGGGACCUUGUACUCAUGCAAGGGAGUUCCUAAUACACAUAAAUGGUGAGUUAAUUAAUUAAAAAGAAAAAAAAGAAAGAAAAGAAAAGAUUUAGGAAACGGGGAAGCUGAAUCAAUUAAAUUUCCCUAUGUUAUAAUUGGCACGUAGAUUAUGACCCUUGAUACAAGACUAAAUGUAUUGUAAAUGCAUGUCACAGUUGGGCAAGAAGUUAGGGAGCAAGAAAAAGAAGCCCCCUACUGCCUACCAUAAAGUUUUGGAGGCGUAUCGAGGCCGUGCCAGAUUGACAGGUGAGUGGGAGUCAUGUACUUUGCACCAUGAGCAUUCUUAAUUCAUUUUCAUGAAUGUCGCCAAGUGUGAAUUGAUUCCACUUGUGCAUAUUGACUGAUAUUGUAGUAGAUUCCUCUAUAAUCUUGAUUCUCUAUGCUUGAUUAUUCUGUACAUGCAUUUGAGGGAACAUUGAGAGGAAUUACGAGGGGUUGAUGAGUAAUCAAAUUGAUUCCGAUUUGUGAAAUGAUUUCUUUUGUAAAUUGAUUUUAUUUCAUCUAUUUCAAAGAUUUGUAGAGCCUUUUUAGUGGUAUAUUGAGUUGUAUUGCACUUCCUUGACCCUCACUUCUAACCCUGAUGUUAGUUUAUGAUUGGAUCAUGAUCAAGUGAGUGGUAGUCUUGAUUAUACUCCUUUUUAGUAGAGUAUUGGGAGGGUGCAUUAUGGCAUUUAUGCAUGGCUUGGCAGUAUCUGCAGGACACCUAUAGUCGAUGGGGGUUGAACAUCGGCCUUUGUGCACAUAGUAGCCUUCUGGGUGGGCGGAGCCCAGUCCCUUCCUGGGGGGACACGGCCCUAGGCGUAGGAUCGCCCGGUCCUAUGACUUAUAUUCUGCUUGCCGCCGGGCAUAGUAAGACCCCGCGAGGUGCAGUACGGCUUUCCGCGGAUGUAGAAUUUCCGCGAGGUGCCGUUUAGUAUAUAGAUGUGAGAUGGAUUUCUGUUCUGGAUACUAGCCAACAUUUACAUGAUCAGUGUGGUAUCUUAUCCUGCAUAUGUAUGUGACAGUGGGGAGUUGUUGCUGGUUCGCCUGGGGCGUAAAACCCACCUUCCGAUAGCUGUUUAGCAUUUACAUUAUUGAUAUGGUGUCUUAUCCUGCAUAUGCAUGUGACAGUGGGGAGUUGUUGUUAGUUCGCCUGGGGCGUAAAACCUACCUCCCGACAGCUGUCUAGUGAUUAUUUACAUAUUGGUGUGGUGUCAUAUUCGAUAUAUGCAUAUGGCAGUAGGGAGUUGUUGCUGGUUUGCCUGGGGCGUAAAACCCACCUCCCGAUAGCUGUCUUGUUGAUGAUUCAGCCUAUUGACACCUGAUUUAUAUGAUUCAGUACUAUGACCUGUUGAGCAUAUUCAUGAGUAGCAUAUAUGUUUACUUGAUUAUUCCAUAUAUGCUUCAGAUGAGUUGAUAUUGAUUGUGGUGGUAUUGAUGACUUACU